GACGAACGCUGGCGGCGUGCUUAACACAUGCAAGUCGAGCGGUAAGGCCCUUUCGGGGGUACACGAGCGGCGAACGGGUGAGUAACACAUGGGUGACCUGCCCUCAGCUCUGGGAUAAGCCCGGGAAACUGGGUCUAAUACCGGAUAUGACUCCAUGACGCAUGUUGUGGGGUGGAAAGCCUUGUGCGGCUGAGGAUGGGCCCGCGGCCUAUCAGCUUGUUGGUGGGGUGAUGGCCUACCAAGGCGACGACGGGUAGCCGGCCUGAGAGGGCGACCGGCCACACUGGGACUGAGAUACGGCCCAGACUCCUACGGGAGGCAGCAGUGGGGAAUCUUGCGCAAUGGGGCGAAAGCCUGACGCAGCGACGCCGCGUGAGGGAUGACGGCCU
rnacentral:rRNA from 1 species